ACUUCAUCCUGUCAGCUUGUCAACUGAGGGACAGUUUCGACUUUGUUUUCUUAGGGGCAUUUUAGUCAUUUCACCUCACCCAAAUUUCGUCUAUAGCACCAGAUUUAGACCCCAAUUCAUCAAAAUGUAAUCCUUUUCUCAAAUUUUCUCUCAAGAACACCCCUUAGAGUUUCAAACAAAAAUCCCAAAUAACUCAAGAUUCAACCGUGGGUUUUGAAAGAUAAUUGGAGAUUUGGAAUCCCCACAUCGUAGGCUUCAGGGAUCAUCCCUUAAUUUCUUAAAUAGAGGUUUUGAGGCUCAAUCUAGGGGUCCAGGUAAACAGUAGAUAUUUCAGAUCGCAGAUCAGAUUGUGCAGUGGUGAGCCUUCUAUAAUCCAGAAGGCCUGUUUAUUUUCAGAUAUUUAUCUUUAGUCAUGUUUUGGUCUACUGGGGGCCUUGUCCCAGUUUUCAGUCAGUUUUGUUUAGUUCAUAGUAGAGAUUUCGCAGACUGAGUCAGACAUUAUUGCUAUUCAGAUAUAUUUUGGACUUCAGUUUGCAGUAUUAUGAUCACUUUCAGAUUGACCAUGUUUCCGUA